GCAGUUCCAGCAUUUUGAUUUUUUAAAAAGUUUUGAAUAUUUGAGCAAUAUACACUUAAAAAGCUGCCUUAUUCUAAAUCGGACUUUAGUCUGUGUAGCCUAAUAUUGUUUCAUCUUACUUGCCAAAGUAUGUUCCCUCUCUUAAAAAUAUUCUAGGUGGAAUAGAGGUCUGCCAGGAAGCCAUGCAGGCUACAGGAACCCCAACUGCUAUGCACUAGAGACAAGUGCUACCUGUACAUCUUCAAAGGCAACUUGGCUAACUCCAGUAUUUCACAGAGAAUCAUCAUCCAUCUAACUGAAAUACUCUCCAACGGCCCAUCAGCCUUGCCUUCUCUUUGAAAUAGUCCAGCUGAGCACUGCACAGACUGUGAUUUUUCCCCCUUCUAAGAUGUCUUACUCACUCCAUAAGCUCAAGACUGACAGUCGAAUUUCACACUGUGAUAGCCCCCCAUCGAUUUUUCACUUGCAGGGAGCAACUCUACAAAUUAAAGUUAACAGCAUUGUUGAAACUUUGAAAUAACUGAGGGGGAAAAAUGGGAUCGAAAAGAUACCUGAACACCAGGGGUUCAAUGUGUUUGGGGGAGAGGGAGGAAAAUCCAAAGGUGAAGGGCAUUUCCAGAAAAUUAAAACCUUUUGAAAGGGAAUUCCUUUGAACGAAUGAAAUCAUAUCAAAAGA